rnacentral:rRNA from 14 species
AAGUCUUGCUAAGUCACUAAGGAUGUUAGGAUACUGUGACAGCCAGGAUGUUGGCUUAGAAGCAGCCAUCAUUUAAAAAGUGCGUAAUAGCUUACUGGUCGAGUGUUCUAGUACCGAUAAUGAACGGGAGUAAGUAAGACACCGAAGCAGCGGAUUCAGCUUUAUGCUGAGUGGUAGGAGAGCGUUCCAGUGCAGAUACAAGCCGUACCGAAAGGAGCGGUGUUGGGCACUGGAAGUGAUUAUGCCGGAAUGAGUAACGAUAAAACAGGUGAGAAUCCUGUUC